rnacentral:rRNA from 1 species
AGUGAACGCUGGCGGUAGGCCUAACACAUGCAAGUCGAACGGCAGCACAGUAAUAGCUUGCUCUUACGGGUGGCGAGUGGCGGACGGGUGAGGAAUACAUCGGCAUCUACUUUUUCGUGGGGGAUAACGUAGGGAAACUUACGCUAAUACCGCAUACGACCUACGGGUGAAAGCAGGGGAUCUUCGGACCUUGCGCGAUUGAAUGAGCCGAUGUCGGAUUAGCUAGUUGGCGGGGUAAAGGCCCACCAAGGCGACGAUCCGUAGCUGGUCUGAGAGGAUGAUCAGCCACACUGGAACUGAGACACGGUCCAGACUCCUACGGGAGGCAGCAGUGGGGAAUAUUAGACAAUGGGCGCAAGCCUGAUCCAGCCAUACCGCGUGGGUGAAGAAGGCCUUCGGGUUGUAAAGCGCUUUUGUUGGGAAAGAAAAGCAGCAGGUUAAUACCCCGCGGGUAUGACGGUACCGAAAGAAUAAGCACCGGCUAACUACGUG